rnacentral:lncRNA from 1 species
ACAGAAAUAGAAACUGAAAACUGAAUAUAGAAAUAGAAAUAAAAAACAAAAUAGAAAUAGAAGCAUAAAAUGAAAAUAGAAACGGAAAAUAGAAACAAAAAACAAAAAACAAAAAUAGAAAUAGAAACGGAAAAUCUAAAUAUAAGUAAAAAAUAGAAAUUGAAUCAGAAAACAGAAAUAUAAAUAGAAACGAAAAAUAUAAAUAGAAACAGAAAACAAAAACAGAAAUACAAAUAGGAAUAGAAACUAAAAAUAGAAAUAAAAAAAUAGAAAUAAAAAUAAAAACAAAAACAAAAACAAAAACGGAAAACAAAAACAAAAACUGGAAUAGAAACAGGUAAUAGAAAUAAAAUAGAAAUAGAAAUUAAAAAAAACUGAAAACAGAAAAUUGAAAAACAGAAAUAGGAUUAGAAUCAGAAAACAUAAAUAAAAAAUACAAAUAGAAACAGAAAACAAAAAGAAAAAAAGAAAAAAAUAGAGAUAUAAAUAGAAACCGAAAAUUUAAUUGGAAUAGAAACAGAAAAUAAAAAUAAAAAAUAAAAUUAAAAACAAAAACUUGAAUAGAAACAAAUAAUAGAAAUAAAAAUAGAAAUAAGACUGAAAACAAAAAUAUAAACUGAAAACAUAAAAUAGAAAUAGAAACUGAAAACAGAAAACACAAAACAUAACAUAAAACACAAAAAAAUUGUAAUAAAAAAACAAACAAAAAACUGAAAUAGAAACAGAAAAAACUCGAAAACAGAAAAAGAAAAAAAUGAAAACAAAAAACAGAAAAAGAAAUAGAAAUGAAAAAUAUAAAUAGAAACAAAAAACAAAAAUAGAAAACGAAAAAGAAAAUAAAAAUAGAAAUAGAAACCGAAAAUAUAAAUAGAAACAGAACAAAAUAGAAAUAAAACUAAAAAUAGAAAUAGAAAUAAAAAAAAACAAAAAAAUAGAAACAGAAAUUAAAAUAGAAAUUAAAAAAACUGAAAACAGAAAUAGAAAUAAAAAUAAAAACAUAAAUAGAAAAUAAAAAUAAAAUUGAAAACAAAAAAAAAAUAAAAACUGAAAAUAGAAAUAGGAUUAGAAUCAGAAAACAGAAAUACAAAUAGAAACGGAAAAUACAAAUGAAAAAAAAAAAAAAAAGAAAAUAGAAAUAGAAACAUAAAAUGGAAAUAGAAACAAAAAACUAAAAUAUAAACAGAAAAAACUCAAAAAUAUAUUUUUUUUAGAAACUGAAAUCAAUAAAAAAUAAAAAAAUAAAAUAAAAAAUAGAAAACAGAAAUAGUAAUAGAAACAAAAAACAAAAAGAAAAUAGAAAUAGAAACAGAAACAAAAAAUAGAAAUAGAAACUAAAAAUAGAAAUAGAAAUAAAAACAGAAAUAGAAAAAAAACAGAAACAGAAAUAAAAAUAGAAAUUAAAAAAAAUGAAAACAUAAAUAGAAAUAAAACUGAAAACAUAAAUAGAGAAUAAAAAUAAAAACUGAAAAAUAAAAAACAAAAAAUAAAAAAUAGAAACUGAAAAAAGAAAUAGGAUUAGAAUCAAAAAACAGAAAUAUAAAUACAAACGGAAAAUACAAAUGGAAACAUAAAACAAAAAAAAAAAAGAAAAAAAUAGAAAUAGAAACAUAAAAUGGAAAUAGAAACGGAAUAUAGAAACAAAAACAAAAAACAGAAAUAGAAAUAGAAAUAGAAACGGAAAAAAAUAGAAAAAGAAAGAAAAAAAAGAAUAUAAAUAGAAACUAAAAAUAUAAAUAGGAAUAGAAACUAAAAAUAGCAAUAGAAACUAAAAAUGAAAAAAAAUAAAAACAAAACGAAAAACAAAAUCAGAAACUGGAAUAGAAACAGGUAAAAGAAAUAAAAAUAGAAAUAGAAAUAAAAAAAAAACUGAAAACAUAAAUAGAAAAAAAACUGAAAACAUAAAUAUAAAAUAAAAAUAAAAAUUAAAAUUAAAAACUGAAAAACAGAAAACAAAAAAUAAAAAUAGAAACUGAAAACAGAAAUAGGAUUAGAAUCAAAAACAAAAAACAAAAAUAAAAUAGAAACUGAAAACAGAAAUAGGAUUAGAAUCAGAAAAUCGAAAUCGAAAUAGAAAUGGAAAAUACAAAUAGAAGCAGAAAACAAAAAGAAAAUAGGAAUAGAAGUAGAAAUAAAUAAAAAAUAAAAAUAAAAAAUAAAACUGGAAUAGAAACAAAUAUAGAAACAUAAAUAAAAAUAAAACUAAAAAAAGAAAUAGAAAUAGAAAGAAAUAAGACUAAAAACAAAAAUAUAAACUGAAAACAUAAAAUAAAUAGAAAUAGAAACAGAAAACAGAAAACAGAAAACAUAAAAAAAAUAAAAAAUAAAAACUGAAAAUAAAAACUAAAAACUAAAAACAAAAAAUAGAAAAAAAAAAAAAAAAAAAAGAAACUUAUAAAAAAACAAAAAAUAGAAAUAGAAAACAACACAAACAACAAAACACAAAACACAAAAAAAGAUGUAAUCAAAAAACUGAAAUAGAAACAGAAAAAACUCGAAAAUAAUUUUUUUUUAGAAAUUGAAAUUAUAAAAAAAUAAAAAAAUGAAAACAAAAAACAAAAUAGAAAUAAAAACGAAAAAUUUAUAAAUAGAAAUAGAAACUAAAAAUAGAAAUAGAAAUAAAAACAGAAAUAGAAAUAGAAAAAAAACAGAAACAUAAAUAAAAAUAGAAAUUAAAAAAAAUGAAAACAUAAAUAGAAAUAAAACUGAAAACAUAAAUAGAGAAUAAAAAUAAAAACUGAAAAAUAAAAAACAAAAAAUAAAAAAUAGAAACUGAAAAAAGAAAUAGGAUUAGAAUCAAAAAACAGAAAUAUAAAUACAAACGGAAAAUACAAAUGGAAACAUAAAACAAAAAGAAAAAAAGAAAAAAAAAUAGAAAUAGAAACAUAAAAUGGAAAUAGAAACGGAAUAUAGAAACAAAAAACAAAAAACAGAAAUAGAAAUAGAAAUAGAAACGGAAAAAAAUAGAAAAAGAAGAAGAAAAAAGAAAUAUAAAUAGAAACUAAAAAUAUAAAUAGGAAUAGAAACUAAAAAUAGCAAUAGAAACUAAAAAUGAAAAAAAAUAAAAACAAAAACGAAAAACAAAAUCAGAAACUGGAAUAGAAACAGGUAAAAGAAAUAAAAAUAGAAAUAGAAAUAAAAAAAAAACUGAAAACAUAAAUAGAAAUAAAACUGAAAACAUAAAUAUAAAAUAAAAAUUAAAAUUAAAAACUGAAAAACAGAAAACAAAAAAUAAAAAUAGAAACUGAAAACAGAAAUAGGAUUAGAAUCAGAAAACAAAAAACAAAAAAUAAAAAUAGAAACUGAAAACAGAAAUAGGAUUAGAAUCAGAAAAUCGAAAUCGAAAUAGAAAUGGAAAAUACAAAUAGAAGCAGAAAACAAAAAGAAAAUAGGAAUAGAAGUAGAAAUAGAAAUAAAAAAUAAAAAUAAAAAUAAAAACUGGAAUAGAAACAAAUAAUAGAAACAUAAAUAAAAAAUAAAACUAAAAAAAGAAAUAGAAAUAGAAAGAAAUAAGACUAAAAACAAAAAUAUAAACUGAAAACAUAAAAUAGAAAUAGAAAUAGAAACAGAAAACAGAAAACAGAAAACAUAAAAAAAAUAAAAAAUAAAAACUGAAAAUAAAAACUAAAAACUAAAAACAAAAAAUAGAAAAAAAGAAAAAAAAAGAAAAAGAAACUUAUAAAAAAACAAAAAAUAGAAAUAGAAAACAACACAAACAACAAAACACAAAACACAAAAAAAGAUGUAAUCAAAAAACUGAAAUAGAAACAGAAAAAACUCGAAAACAAUUUUUUUUUAGAAAUUGAAAUUAGAAAAAAAUAAAAAAAUGAAAACAAAAAACAAAAAUAGAAAUAAAAUCGAAAAAUUUAUAAAUAGAAAUAGAAACUAAAAAUAGAAAUAGAAAUAAAAACAGAAAAAAAUAAAAACAGAAAUAAAAAUAGAAAAUAGAAAAUAAAAAUAAAAAUUAAAAACUGAAAACAUAAAUAGAAAUAGAAACGGAAAAUAAAAAUGGAAACAGAAAACAGAAGAAAAAAAGAAAAAUAAAAUAGUAUCUAUAAAUAGAAACCGAAAAUAAAUAGAAAUAAAAAAUAAAAAUAAAAAUAAAAACAAAAACUAGAAUAGAAACAGAUAAUAGAAAUAGAAAUAAAAAAUAAAACUAAAAACCGAAAUAGAAAUAGAAAUAAGACUGAAAAUAAAAAUAUAAACUGAAAACAUAAAAUAGAAAUAAAAACUGAAAACAGAAAACAGAAAAAAAAAUAAAAUUGAAAUCUGAAAACUGAAAACAAAAACCAGAAAAAAAUUAAAAAGAAAAAGAAAAAGAAACAUAUAAAAAACAAAAAAUAGAAAUAAAAAAUAAAAAACUAAAAAUAGAAAACACCAAAAAACAAAAAACAAACAAAAAACUGAAAUAGAAACAGAAAAAACUCGAAAACAUUUUUUUUUCAAAAACUGAAAUCAUAAAAAAAAUAAAAAAUAAAAACAGAAAACAGAAAUAGAAAUAGAAACGAAAAAUAUAAAUAGAAACAAAAAUAAAAAUAGAAAUAAAACUGAAAACAAAAAUGUAAACUGAAAACAUAAAAUAGAAAUAGAAACUAAAAACAAAAAAUAGAAAUAGAAACUGAAAACAAAAAACAAAAAACAAAAAAUAGAAAUAGAAACUGAAAAUAAAGUCAGAUAGGCAAGAGUUCAAAUCCACAGAAUACAACCUUACCUCUACCUCUAGUUCCUUCUCAAGCAAUAUUUCACUUGAACCACACCUUGACCACACAUUCAGCAACACCUUCCAACUUGUUAAGACUCUUUUAAAGUAAAAAGAGUGAGGAAAAGCAGUACAAUCAGCAGAAGAAAACCAACAGCUAAAGAACCAAAGUUAUCCAAAUGAAAAGAAUAGAAAAUAACUAUAAAAGACAUAGUAACAAAUUAUACUUGAGAAAGCCACAACCCACAACAACUCCAAAAGAAAAACAGAUUUGCAAUCCAAGAACCAUAGAAAAUGAAUUUCUUUAAAUAAGAAGAAAGGAGAUAGAAAAAGAUCAGGACCACUGAUAUAAAACAACAACAAUAACAACAACAACAAAUAUAGGAAACCCAAAUAAAAAAGGAAAAAGAACACAUACCUGAGCAAAUGACCAGCCAACUUUUAAAACCACAAAAGCGCAUGAGAGAGAGACUAAAUAUUCGCAGCAGAGAAAUGGUUUCUCUGAUGAUAUUGCCAAGGAAGUUUACAAUUUAGAUCAGCUUUGACAGAAAAUAAAAGGGAACACAAAAGAAGCCAGGAUCUGAAAGGGUAUUUUACAUGUUUAUGCGUAAAAUGAUGGAAGAAAUAAGGGCAAAAUGGGAAAAUAAAUUAGGACGGAAAUUUUGAGCUGAAACACUUGAACAGUAAAAUGCCACUCUCUCUUAUAUAUAGGAAGGGGAAGGCUAUCUAUGAGAUAAUAAGCAAAUUAGGCAAACAUUAUCAACCAAUUGAAGUAUGAGUAACGAACAAGCUUUGAUGAAGCCUAUUCAUUCAAUUGUUUAUGAACAUUCAUUAUAUACCUUAUUACAACUUUUGCUUGCGGUCAAUGGGCAAUUCUUGAAGAAAAAAUCUGGAUAAAACUACAUGUUGUACGACAAUCUAUAUUUAAUUCAACUUAACAGUUAUGUUCCUAAGUUCCUGCUGUUCUCUUUCUCCAAUUCUCUUCAAGAUGCCUUUUCUGAUUCAAUCACAAUAUGCCACUGAGAUAACCUAGCAAGAUUGCUCUCUAGAAAUUAUAACUGCAGUUUCCUGAAUUUUUAGCAGUUUGAACGGUACCAUAAUACAGAUAAAGAGUAACAUAAGUGAAAUCUCAUGUACCUAAAUUCAUCAAUGACAGCUAUAUUUGCCACUCACUUUAUCAAUCUACAAGGUCCAAGCCCUCAAAGUUCUUUAAUGUCAAAAAUGGAGGUAAAGUAAAUCUGCAAGAGAACCAGUCAGUUUAGGUAAAGUGUUCUUGACAUAGUUCAAAGUCUCUCUUUGACUUUCUAAAACUGCAGUGACAUCACCCAGUUUAGCUAAAAGACAGCUCAAGCUUGUAUGUAAGCCUCACGAAACAACAUUAGCGAAGAAAUGCACACAUAUUCUUUAUGUCAGCUUCUUUACCUCAAAGUUCUUUAAUGUCAAAAAUGGAGGUAAAGUAAAUCUGCAAGAGAACCAGUCAGUUUAGGUAAAGUGUUCUUGACAUGGUUCAAAGUCUCUCUUUGACUUUCUAAAACUGCAGUGACAUCACCCAGUUUAGCUAAAAGACAGCUCAAGCUUGUAUGUAAGCCUCACGAAACAACGUUAGCGAAGAAAUGCACACAUAUUCUUUAUGUCAGCUUCUCUACAACCUAGCCUAGGCGUGUCAAAUGUCAGGGAUAUAGGGGUAUAGCUUUGAAGCCAG